rnacentral:rRNA from 1 species
UAAUGGCCCACCAAGGCGAUGACGUGUAGUUAUGCUGAGAGGUAGAAUAACCACAAUGGGACUGAGACACGGCCCAUACUCCUACGGGAGGCAGCAGUAGGGAAUUUUUCACAAUGGACGAAAGUCUGAUGGAGCAAUGCCGCGUGAACGAUGAAGGUCUUUUUAGAUUGUAAAGUUCUUUUAUUUGGGAAGAACAGUUAAUAGAGUGGAAAGCUAUUAAUUUGACUGUACCAU